GCCCGUCUAGCUCAAUGGUCGAGCGCUGGCUUCGAAAGCCACAGGUCGGUGGUUCAAUUCCACCCGGGCA
rnacentral:tRNA from 3 species